AGCAGCCGCGGUAAUUCCAGCUCCAAUAGCGUAUAUUAAAGUUGUUGCAGUUAAAAAGCUCGUAGUUGAAUUUCGGGAUCAAGGCGUCGGUCGUGCUUCGGUACGUACUGGCGUCAUUGAUUUCUCCCUUCUGACGAACCGUGAUGUCAUUAACUUGGUGUUAUGGGGAGUUAGGACUGUUACUUUGAAAAAAUUAGAGUGUUUAAAGCAGGCAUUAGCUUGAAUACAUUAACAUGGAAUAAUGAAAUAGGACGUUCGAUCCUAUUUUGUUGGCUUCUAGGAUCAACGUAAUGAUUAAUAGGGAUAGUUGGGGGCAUUAGUAUUCAAUUGUCAGAGGUGAAAUUCUUGGAUUUAUUGAAGACUAACUACUGCGAAAGCAUUUGCCAAGGAUGUUUUCAUUAAUCAAGAACGAAAGUUAGGGGAUCGAAGACGAUCAGAUACCGUCGUAGUCUUAACCAUAAACUAUGCCGACUAGGGAUCGGAUGAUGUUAAUUUUUAAUGACUCAUUCGGCGCCUUACG
rnacentral:rRNA from 1 species